UGGCGAACGGGUGGGUAACGCGUGAGGAACCUGCCUCAAAGAGGGGGACAACAGUUGGAAACGACUGCUAAUACCGCAUAAGCCCACGGCUCGGCAUCGAGCAGAGGGAAAAGGAACAAUCCGCUUUGAGAUGGCCUCGCGUCCGAUUAGCUAGUUGGUGAGGUAACGGCCCACCAAGGCGACGAUCGGUAGCCGGACUGAGAGGUUGAACGGCCACAUUGGGACUGAGACACGGCCCAG
rnacentral:rRNA from 1 species